UGACACAAAAGGUAAGGAUAGUAUCAGACUAAUGACAGUUGCAAGAGAGGAUUGUCAUUGUCCGAUUCACAUGACUGGCAUACUUCAAGACUGUUAUAUAUGAUCCUGAUUCAUUUAUCUGCCUGUAGCUGUGCUGCAAUUUGCUUGUGAGCAGUUCUGCCUUUUUCUUUUCUCCACACCUGUGACAUGACUAAUAGCUUGUGCUGCUUAAC